ensembl:snoRNA
GUGCAAAUGAUGAGAACAUAACAGUAUGAAAAUGAUGAUACUGUAAACGCUUUCUGAUGUA